rnacentral:rRNA from 3 species
UGGCUCAGAUUGAACGCUGGCGGCAGGCCUAACACAUGCAAGUCGAACGGUAACAGGAAGUGCUUGCACUUCGCUGACGAGUGGCGGACGGGUGAGUAAUGCUUGGGAACUUGCCUUUGCGAGGGGGAUAACAGUUGGAAACGACUGCUAAUACCGCAUAAUGUCUACGGACCAAACGGGGCUUAGGCUCCGGCGCAAAGAGAGGCCCAAGUGAGAUUAGCUAGUUGGUAAGGUAAAGGCUUACCAAGGCAACGAUCUCUAGCUGUUCUGAGAGGAAGAUCAGCCACACUGGGACUGAGACACGGCCCAGACUCCUACGGGAGGCAGCAGUGGGGAAUAUUGCACAAUGGGGGAAACCCUGAUGCAGCCAUGCCGCGUGUGUGAAGAAGGCCUUCGGGUUGUAAAGCACUUUCAGUUGUGAGGAAAAGUUAGUAGUUAAUACC